rnacentral:rRNA from 1 species
AUUGAACGCUGGCGGAAUGCUUUACACAUGCAAGUUGAACGGCAGCACGGACUUCGGUCUGGUGGCGAGUGGUGAACGGGUGAGUAAUGUAUCGGAACGUGCCCAGUCGUGGGGGAUAACGUAGUGAAAAUUACGCUAAUACCGCAUACGAUCUAUGGAUGAAAGCGGGGGAUCGCAAGACCUCGCGCGAUUGGAGCGGCCGAUAACAGAUUAGGUAGUUGGUGGGGUAAAGGCCCACCAAGCCAACGAUCUGUAGCUGGUCUGAGAGGACGACCAGCCACACUGGAACUGAGACACGGUCCAGACUCCUACGGGAGGCAGCAGUGGGGAAUUUUGGACAAUGGGCGAAAGCCUGAUCCAGCCAUUCCGCGUGCAGGAUGAAGGCCCUCGGGUUGUAAACUGCUUUUGUACAGAACGAAAAGGUUUCUACUAAUACUAGGAGCUCAUGACGGUACUGUAAGAAUAAGCACCGGCUAACUCCGUGCCAGCCGCCGCCGUAA